GGGGGAUAUUGCACAAUGGGGGAAACCCUGAUGCAGCGACGCCGCGUGGAGGAAGAAGGCUUUCGGAUUGUAAACUCCUGUCGUUAGGGACGAUAAUGACGGUACCUAACAAGAAAGCACCGGCUAACUACGUGCCAGCAGCCGCGGUAAAACGUAGGUCACAAGCGUUGUCCGGAAUUACUGGGUGUAAAGGGAGCGCAGGCGGGAAGACAAGUUGGAAGUGAAAUCCAUGGGCUCAACCCAUGAACUGCUUUCAAAACUGUUUUUCUUGAGUAGUGCAGAGGUAGGCGGAAUUCCCGGUGUAGCGGUGGAAUGCGUAGAUAUCGGGAGGAACACCAGUGGCGAAGGCGGCCUACUGGGCACCAACUGACGCUGAGGCUCGAAAGUGUGGGUAGCAAACAGGAUUAGAUACCCUGGUAGUCCACACCGUAAACGAUGAUUACUAGGUGUUGGAGGAUUGACCCCUUCAGUGCCGCAGUUAACACAAUAAGUAAUCCACCUGGGGAGUACGACCGCAAGGUUGAAACUCAAAGGAAUUGACGGGGGCCCGCACAAGCAGUGGAGUAUGUGGUUUAAUUCGACGCAACGCGAAGAACCUUACCAAGUCUUGACAUCCCUUGACGAUGCUGGAAACAGUAUUUCUCUUCGGAGCAAGGAGACAGGUGGUGCAUGGUUGUCGUCAGCUCGUGUCGUGAGAUGUUGGGUUAAGUCCCGCAACGAGCGCAACCCUUAUGGUCAGUUACUACGCAAGAGGACUCUGGCCAGACUGCCGUUGACAAAACGGAGGAAGGUGGGGAUGACGUCAAAUCAUCAUGCCCUUUAUGACUUGGGCUACACACGUACUACAAUGGCGUUAAACAAAGAGAAGCAAGACCGCGAGGUGGAGCAAAACUCAGAAACAACGCCCCAGUUCGGACUGCAGGCUGCAACUCGCCUGCACGAAGUCGGAAUUGCUAGUAAUCGUGGAUCAGCAUGCCACGGUGAAUACGUUCCCG
rnacentral:rRNA from 1 species